UACGAAGGGGGCUAGCGUUGCUCGGAAUCACUGGGCGUAAAGCGCACGUAGGCGGCUUCUUAAGUCAGGGGUGAAAUCCUGGAGCUCAACUCCAGAACUGCCUUUGAUACUGAGGAGCUUGAGUCCGGGAGAGGUGAGUGGAACUGCGAGUGUAGAGGUGAAAUUCGUAGAUAUUCGCAAGAACACCAGUGGCGAAGGCGGCUCACUGGCCCGGUACUGACGCUGAGGCACGAAAGCGUGGGAGCAAACAGG
rnacentral:rRNA from 1 species